UACGAAGGGGGCUAGCGUUGCUCGGAAUCACUGGGCGUAAAGGGUGCGUAGGCGGGUCUUAAGUCAGGGGUGAAAUCCUGGAGCUCAACUCCAGAACUGCCUUUGAUACUGAAGAUCUUGAGUUCGGGAGAGGUGAGUGGAACUGCGAGUGUAGAGGUGAAAUUCGUAGAUAUUCGCAAGAACACCAGUGGCGAAGGCGGCUCACUGGCCCGAUACUGACGCUGAGGAGCGAAAGCCAGGGGAGCAAACGGG
rnacentral:rRNA from 1 species